CCUACGGGUGGCAGCAGUGGGGAAUAUUGGGCAAUGGAGGCAACUCUGACCCAGCAACGCCGCGUGAAUGAUGAAGGUCUUCGGGUUGUAAAGUUCUGUGAUGGGGGAUGAACACAAUGACGGUACCCCAAUAGCACGCCACGGCUAACUACGUGCCAGCAGCCGCGGUACUACGUGGGUGGCGAGCGUUAUCCGGAAUGACUGGGCGUAAAGGGUGCGUAGGUGGUUUGGUAAGUUGGCGGUGUAAUUCCGGGGCUCAACCUGGGAGCUACAGCCAAAACUAGUAGACUAGAGUGCAGGAGGGGGAAGUGGAAUUCCUAGGGUAGCGGUGGAAUGCGUAGAGAUUAGGAGGAACAUCAGGGGCGAAGGCGACUCACUGGACGGUAACUGACGCUGAGGUACGAAAGCGUGGGGAGCAAACAGGAUUAGAUACCCUAGUAGUC
rnacentral:rRNA from 1 species